UUUGCAAUUUGCUUGCAACAUUUGUUAGGCAAAGAUGACAUUUGUAUAAUGUACAUGUAAUAUGUAUAGUAAAUAUAAAUUGCAGAUUACAGUAUACUUACAGUAUAAUUACAGAAUAAUUACAGAAAGAGCAGAGAAUGCAGUAAAUCUGAAAAAUACAACAAAAUACUCACCUCAUGAAAGAGCAUUAGGUGACCACACAAUGUAAACAAACAUAACUAUACCUAAUUUUAACAAAAUAAGCCUAAGUGCCAUCAUAGAAUUGUCUGAAACAUAUGUCCAGUAAUUUUGAUUUAAUCACUUUAAAUUUCCUUCAGCAGUUCAUCCAAACUGAAAAGAGAGAAAAUGUUACAUUAUGCAAAAAAUGCAUUAGAAUGGAAGAUAUAUGACAUUAAAUCAUGUCAGUCGAUCUUGAAGAUAAACUCAAUGUUGCAGCUCUGUAGAAAUUCAGCAUGCUUAUCCAGAUGCACCAUCAGCGACCAGAAGGAAGAGCGUGAGGGAAAGGUAGUGAGGAUGAGCGAGAAAGGGAGACAGGGAGAAUGAGACAGAAAGAGCGAGAGAGUAGCAGUUAAGUAAAAGAGAGAGAGAGAGAGUUGGCCCACAACCCAGAGCUUGAUUAAAAAAAAUGCUUGCUAAGCUAUCCAUUUCACACAUGCACCGGCAGGAGGUUCGAUAUAUUCACCCGAUCAAUGAAGUGAACAGGCACAAUGGCCAAAUUGGACGAGGCCGCUUUUUUCCUCAAAUCCUCAUCUCUGAUGUCCCCCUCCCUGCAGUCUGUGCUGGUGCUGUGCUCCGAGAGCAUGGGGUUACCCCCAGGGCUGCUACGCUCCGUGGACCGGCUGAGCAGGUCUAGUCCACUGAGUGACCCCCCGCAUCGGCCCCUUUGAGGGAAAGGCAAGUUCGGUCAGCAGGAAGAAAGUGAGGCGUGGCCCCUUUUCAGUGAGGGAGCGACCCGCGGCCGCCCAGAGGUAAAAAGGAAGGUUUGAUGAUGAUCACUUAAAAGAAAAUGAGGAAAUGAGGACACUUGCCCUCAAGUUUCCAGGUAAUGGGAGGCUGUUCCGCGAGGCCCCCAGCAACAGUGGAGUGAUAGCCAUCCACCAUGAAUACAAAACAGGCAGGCAGGGCACGAUGAGGCUGGAAGUGCUCAGCUCAGCAGGGCAUGCAUGCUUACUGAGUGCCAGCCACCGUCUGUCUGCCUCUGCACUGACCCAGCUGAACGCACUGGCAGAGAGAGAACUUGCACAACCAAACAGCCUUCAUGCUCUCCGCUUCCAACAUAAUUGUGUCGUUGUUAGCUGCAUGGCUCUGUCACUGUGCAGCCUGGCGAACACUGAAAAUUGUAUAAAGUAGUACUUCCCAACCUUCAUACUUAAUAACCCUGUCCCAUAACUUUCAAUGUUUUCUCUGCUCUGACUUCCUGAAUUAAACUGAGAGUGAACUUGUUUACUGCUCGAUUCGUUGGAUCAGGUGUGUUGGAGCAAAUGGCGGGUGUACUCUACGACUUUGCUUAAUGGAUGAACACUAGCGUACUGUAAUCAUGUUAAGAUGGAUCUAAUGAUACAUGAAUGUGGUAUAAAUGUAUAAUUUUGCCUUCAAAAGGGUUGACCAUACACUUGCUGCCCACUUUAUUAGAAACCCCUGCCUUGUACACUGCAAAAAGUCAGCUCAAUUUUAAGUCAACAUUCUGCAUGUUUUUGCAUUUUUUCUUGACUUAGUUUAGUCAAAAGUUCUCUUUUAAAAAAGGACAGCAUCUUAGGUUAGGUUAAAAAAUGGCUUAAGUUGAGCUUACUCAAAAAAAGUAAGCAUGAUUGCCUCUUUAUGAGCUGAAAUUUAUUUGUUUGUUUGUUUACUCUGUUCCUCCUCAGUAAAAUAAUUGCUAAUUCCCUGCUAUGCACAGGUUAUGACUCCCCUUAUUACACAGCAUCCCCAGCUUUUUGGGGGCUAUGCAAAUCAAAUUUACCUAUUUUUUUUACAGUAUAGCUCCACUUUCUUAGCUAUAGCCUGUUGAUGCCUAGUUUGUGUUAGUCUUGCUCUUGCACUUCAUCAAUUGUUAGUUUCUGACCAUAGAGAUGCUUAUGGAUGGAUAAAGUGUAGGUUGUAUAGGGUACAGAAUGGAUUUCCCUCAACCCAGCAGUGACAGUGAUGUUUAUAAAAACACUUAUACCACAGGCAACAAGCGGUACCAUGCCACUGCCACAUUUGUGUCACUACUGCAAGUAAUAUCUGCUCAAGAGAGGUGCUAUGUUCAGACACUGACCAAUAAUAAGGGCUGAAGAGUGAGGAAUAAAUCGGACAGCAAUAGCUGGGCUUCAGAAGGUAAUUGUACACCUAUAUAGUGGAUCUUUGGUAAGUGGACCAGUACAUAGAAGCACAAGGUAGGUGUUUUGAAUAAAAUGGUUGGUGAUAAUGAGAACUGAAUUCAGUAUGAGUACAAUGCUGGUAUAACUCCCAGUGCAACUGUCACAAACCCACUAGUGCAUCCUGGCCUUAAUGCAGUGUGUCAUGAAAUUUUAUGUCUGCCUGAGAACUGGAAAUGCAGAAGUAGCUUAGAUACUGUUUCUGUUCAAAGAUGGUAGGUGUUUGAAAAUCACUACAAUUAAAUUACCACCCACAGUGUAAAUUGGAGACCAGCAUAUCUGCACUCUGCCUACUGGUGCUCAGUUUUAAGACUGUAGAUGUUUUUAUAUUGGUUAUUUUGAUGUGUACUAUAAUUGCAGAAAUAAAAAGUAUAUAGUAUCCAUGUGCAACCCUUCACCAAUGGGUUACUUCUGUAGAGUUAUAGAAGAUCCAUACACCAUUAGUCCAUGGUGUAGAUAAAAUAUAAAACCAAAUAAAAUAUAAAAUAAUGAAAGCAGAUUAAUUCUAAAGUUAAUUUGGUCAUAGCGAUUUUCUCCCAAGUACCAUGUAAGUCAUAUAGACAGAAGAAAAUGAGUAAAAAAUGGUAAGGUAAAUGAUCAGGACACAGUAAAACCAUAAGAAUCAUCACAUUUCUUUGACAGCCCAGAUUUAGUUUUAUUUAGAGGUAAUAAACCAAUACAUACUAUAUAAAACUCAGAAUACCCAGAAAUAAUUACAGUACUUUAGAGAUCGUACCUCCCACUUAAUCACUUCUUACCUAGAACUUGUUGGGAAUUGCAGUGCAAUUUAGUUAUACUGCCUUGGAGCUUACCUUCAUGUUACCCAAAAUAAUUACCAAGUACCGUGUACCUCACACUUAUCCAGUUAAUACCUAGAAUUUAAGGGACUGUAAAAGAACACAUGCCUUGGUGAAGUUAAUUACUGACUAAAAACCUAUACAUGGGACUGGUAACCUUUGAAGAUCAUUUAGUUCUUUCUCAUCUUAACCAUCCUAAAGGGCUUAAUGGUUGCAUGAUUACAGAUGCAGAGAAGAUUUGGGAGAAAUGCACUCUGCAUAAAAGGUUGCUAUCAGGAAUAAUUUUAGGUAGGAAUAGCAGUGCUCAAUUUGUGACUGAAGAAGCAGAAGCAGAAAUGGAGAGUAAUUUCUUUAGUGCGGUGCUGGCACCAGACCCAAUUGAAGUGAUUAUUUAAAUGUGUUGUCAUACCAAGGUGAGGUGAAGGGAAGCCUUUCACCGGCAAAGUAACUGGACAGAUAAUGCUAGCAAAAAGAUUUGUACUGAAGAGAACAUCUAUUGUCUCCAUUUCCUAAUUGAGAGUGCAGUGUCAAAUAAGGACAAAGCUGUGCGCUCGCUGGCAGUCUCUCUCUCUCUCUCUCUUGCUCUCUCGCUCUCUCUCUUUCUCUCUCUUUCUCUCUUUCUCUCGCUCUCUCGCGCUCUCUCUCUCUGUCUGUCUCUCUCUCUCUCUCUUCUGCUCUCUGUCUCAUGCACGUACACUUGGAGAGAAGGUGAGUUUGCUGAUGCCUGGAUUUUCAGACACCGCAGCAUGGCUUCAGACAGCCACCAGAAAAUUCAGCUCUACAUUUAUCCCCCCACUCUGUCUUUAUGUCUCUGAUAGAAUGUAAAAGCUCCAUCUAACUAAUGUGGACUGAAAGCUUAAGCACAUUGCAAACCCAGAAAUUAACCAAUAUAAGACAGGCUUGCCUCAUCUCUUGAGCUUUUGGAAAUGCUUAAUGUUACACUGCUUGUAAUGGAAUCUGAUGCUUUAAAGGAGUAGUUCAGUCCAGAAUGCAUGAUACUUACAUUAUUCCAGUCAAUGGUUAGUAGCUUCCAUUGCCUGCUAGUCAUGCUGUCCUCACAGUCUGCAUGUACAGAUGUUCAGUUCAGAAUGCUAAUGGUGUCAAUAGUGAAUGAAAGUGAACAGUAACUGAAUACUAUGAUACAAAUUACUUUAUGCUAAUUGAUGGUUACCAAGUUAAAUUCCCAGUUAGCCAUGCUGUCCUCACUAAAGGAACAGUUCAGUCAAAAAUGCUAAAAUUGUUAACAGUGAAUGAAAGUAAUCAAACAUAAUUUUGCAUGAUACAAAUAACUGUCUGCCCUGCGAUGGACUGGCGACCUGUCCAGGGUGUAUCCUGCCUUUCGCCCGAAGACUGCUGGGAUAGGCUCCAGCAUCCCCCCGCGACCCUGACGGAGAAGCGGCUUAGAAAAUGGAUGGAUGGAUGGACAAAUAACAAUGUUAAUUGGUGGCGAUGUUAGCAUAUUUGGCAUGAAGUUUUCAUAACUGCCCAUGUAUAAUCUCUAAGAAAGAUGUUCUCAUCCUUUUCAUGUCCAUAAAGACCUGGUUUGGUUUUUAAACAGAAAUUGCCCAUUUUUACCAAACUGAGAGAAGUUAUGGAUAUUUUCAUAGAGUCUUUGCAGUUGGCAUGUAUUUUAGAUCAGUAUAGUCCUACACUACAGUGAAAAGGUAUGUUGUUUUAUUGCUGCUUUUGGAACCAAAACUUGGAUCGCCAAAAUUGGAACUUUACAGGAGAAAGAAAAAUAAAUUCUUAAUUUUAAAUGGAAGUUAAUAUAAGUAGAUUAAUUUUCAGGUAAUUUUGGAGCAUCCUGAAUUUUGUUACAAAAGGCAGCUGACAUUUUCAAAUACUGAAAAAGAUAAGAGGUUUUGUUCCAACAGCAACGAUAUGCCAUAACUUAUACAAUGUAGAUUUCAUUGUUAUAAUACACUAUACAUCUAAAGUAACUUUUGCCCAUUUUAUUUAAGAUUUCAAGUCUUUUGGGAACAACAAGAAGUUAUUAGAUGAGAAAUAAUAUGCUGAAAUGAUCUAUCUACAAUUGUUUAAUAAUAUGAGGCUUUCUUAUCCUUUUUAGAACCUAUAGCCUUGCUCAUAAUUCUGGUUAUCAUGGUUAUAGUCACAUCCUUAGCACCCCCUACUGAACUGCUUAAGUGGGGGUUGCCAUGACAACAGUGGCAAAGAAGUUUGUGCCUUGUUAAACAGGCAAUAGAUUCUCAACUUCAGACUCUUUCUGCUGGGUUGGACAUCAAUGUAGAUGAUUUGGACUCUUUAUCAUCCAAUCACUGAAAAGGUAAUAUAGUGAAUUUACUAUGAUUCAAAUGUUUCCACAUGAAUUAAACAUAUACAUUUUGUCUUUCAGUUGUUGUGCUUUUGGUGGUAAUUGUGUGAAUGUAUGUUUUAGUCAGAAUUACAUUUAAAGUAAGCCCAUGCAUUUCUUUCUACACUGUAUCUACACUGAUAACACUAAAAGUGAAUGCAUUGUCCCGAACAUAAAUUUAUGUUUCAGAGUUUUCUCAGGGCAAAAUAUAUGUCGUUUGCCUUUACAUACUCGACCACAGGGCCAUAUUUUUACCCAACAUAUUUUCCUUUAGUGCUGACUACAUUUGCCACUAAUCAGAGGGGGAAGCCUCACUGCAUGGCUCAUAUACACAAACCCCUGCGUUCCCUCAGCUGUAAUUAUAGGGGUAAUUUAAUGGAAUGUUUGCCAUCAAUUUUAUCUGUUUGCAAAAUUCUGUUAAGUGCUCUGUUCCAGCACUCAUAUGCACAUGUACCCUUUAUUUAAGGAUGAAAUGUUGGUUCACCACGGACGAGUUGAGUGCCAACCUCUAAGCUUCUUAUAACAUAGUGGGUAUGUGGUUUGAGUUUGAACUGAUGUAGCCCAGGGUAAGGGCCAUUCUAGGCGAUGUAUGUGAACGGCCAUUGCUUAAACGGUGCAGUGUGUUUCAUUUGCAGGCCGUCUUUGGUGUGUGCUCGGUGUGUGUGUAAGUGAAGCUCCUCAUGCAGCACGUCCCCCUACAGAUGAGCUGAGAGGUCACUGAGUUCUUGUCUGCCACAGAGCCUGCCAAAUACAACCAGACACUCUCUAUUAGAUGCAUACUAAGGAGAAAGAGGCCAGUUGCAGCGAACAAAUCUCAGAGGGACGAAAGCAAUACUGUCCUUAUUGGAUACAGGCACAAUCCAUGUGCACAUGCACACAAUUUUUAAACCGAAGUGAUUGAUUUAUAUGUAUUUCAGUUGUCUAACUUGAGUCUAUGUGAUUUUAAUACAUGAGAAAUAAAGAUACAGAAUGAAUAACAAUA